rnacentral:lncRNA from 1 species
CUUCUGUUGAGCAGAGUUUCGAGUGUUGCUCCGAGUUCUCAUACCAGCAAUGAAAUUAAGAAGCUGGAGGAGAGGAUAUCCUUCUGAAAUCAGCCCUAAUGACACAGAUUUGCACCUGAUGUUGACUCUAAGGAACCCCCUUUACUGGACCUCCAGACAGCUCAUUUGUUAAAGGGGUAAAGAGAUGAUCCAAUAUGGACAUUGGAUGGGAUAGUUUCAUGGGCAAGCAUCGGUCAGUCAAAGUAACCAAUCCCCACCCAGAUUGCAGCUCCUGAUUCACUAAAUACACAAACCAAAGGACCACCUUUCUUCACGGUUGUUUAGCAGCUCGUUUCCAAUUUCUCAUUCCUCGUCUUCCCAUCAGUUUUUUUACUGAGCACAGAAGACGCAGAUAUGAAUUGGAUCUUCUACUCAAUUCUCCUUACCAGUUCCCAGAAUCCUGCUCCUGUUUUUUAACACAGAGAAUUUGAAAGUCACUUGUGCAGUUAAGUCCAUGUAACACAGUUGGCACCUGUUAAAGCAUCCUAUACCUCCCUCUGUGGCCGCUUCUUGGUCUACAAAUUCAGUUUUAUUUAAGUUGGCUAACUCAGGUUCAUCUCUGAUCAUCUUGAAAGAAUCAUUCUCUUCUUCUUCCAGUGAGACGUCCCCGACUCUCUUAGGAUGUCAUAGACUUAACAGCCUGGCAAUAGUGGUGCACGCCUUUAAACCCAGCACUUGGGAGUCAAUGGCAAGCGAAUUUCUGAGUUUGAGGCCAGCUUUGUCUACAGUGUGAGUUCCAGGACAGCCAGUGCUACAUGGAGAAACCCUGUCUCAAAAACCAACCAAACAAACAAAAACACAAAACAAACAAACAAACAAACAACAAAGACUUAACAAAUUGCUUUGGACAGAUGCAAGCUUCCAUAUUUGUAUUUUCAUCUGCUAAUAUAACACUUUGCUUUGAAAAAAGAUUGAUGAAUUUAAAUGAAUUGUCCCAUGGACAUGUAUGUCUGAAAUCUGAAUGAAUGCCCAUAAUAUGAAAAGUUACAUCUAGAUUUAUGUAUAUGGUACUGUAUGCUGUUCAUCAGAACAAUUACAAAAUGUGGUUGUGCCCUCACCAUACCAGGAAAUUGUAGAGAUCUGCUUCUUCUAUAUUAUCAUUACCAAGAGCAGAAGGUUGAGGUCACAUUUGUUACCAGAUGCCUCUUUGAGAAUCAUGCACAGUGUCACCAGAAAGCACCAAGAGUUCUAAUAAAAAUGAUGAUGUUUGGGAUUCCCAUA